rnacentral:rRNA from 1 species
AACGAACGCUGGCGGCAGGCUUAACACAUGCAAGUCGAGCGCCCCGCAAGGGGAGCGGCAGACGGGUGAGUAACGCGUGGGAACGUACCCUUAUCUUCGGGAUGGCUCCGGGAAACUGGAAUUAAUACCGAAUGUGCCCUUUGGGGGAAAGAUUUAUCGGAUAAGGAUCGGCCCGCGUUGGAUUAGCUAGUUGGUGGGGUAAAGGCCUACCAAGGCGACGAUCCAUAGCUGGUCUGAGAGGAUGAUCAGCCACAUUGGGACUGAGACACGGCCCAAACUCCUACGGGAGGCAGCAGUGGGGAAUAUUGGACAAUGGGCGCAAGCCUGAUCCAGCCAUGCCGCGUGAGUGAUGAAGGCCUUAGGGUUGUAAAGCUCUUUCACCGGAGAAGAUAAUGACGGUAUCCGGAGAAGAAGCCCCGGCUAACUUCGUG